rnacentral:rRNA from 1 species
GCUUGUCUCAAAGAUUAAGCCAUGCAUGUCUAAGUAUAAAUAGUAUACAGUGAAACUGCGAAUGGCUCAUUAAAACAGUUAUAGUUUAUUUGAUAAUUGAAAAUUACAUGGAUAACCGUGGUAAUUCUAGAGCUAAUACAUGCUAUCAAGCCCGACUUCUUGAAGGGUUGUAUUUAUUAGACUUAAGCCAAUAUUCCUUGUGUCUAUUGCGAUGAUUCAUAAUAACUGAUCGAAUCUCAAAUUUGAGAUAAAUCAUUCAAAUUUCUUCCCUAUCAACUUUCGAUGUUUGGGUAUUGGCCAAACAUGGUUGCAACGGGUAACGGAGGGUUAGGGCUCGACCCCGGAGAAGGAGCCUGAGAAACGGCUACUACAUCCAAGGAAGGCAGCAGG